rnacentral:rRNA from 1 species
UACAGAGGGUGCGAGCGUUAAUCGAAAUUACUGGGCGUAAAGCGUGCGCAGGCGGUUUUGUAAGCCAGAUGUGAAAUCCCCGGGCUUAACCUGGGAAUGGCAUUUGGGACUGCAAGGCUUGAGUGCGGCAGAGGAGACUGGAAUUCCUGGUGUAGCAGUGAAAUGCGUAGAUAUCAGGAGGAACACCGAUGGCGAAGGCAGGUCUCUGGGCUGACACUGACGCUCAUGCACGAAAGCGUGGGGAGCAAACAGG